GACACAUUUUGCGCUAUGUGGUACACUGUUAGGAUACAUUGUCAGAGUGACAAUGUACUUUAUCAAAUUUUCCAUACAACUGGCAACGCUGAAGAGUACAAUCACCAUAGUUACUGUUUAUUAUUCAGAUCCCUGUUAAAUCAGAAAAAUUUUGCUCCUGGGACUUUAUAAAAUAUAACAUUCCGUGGAAAUGAUCAAUAAAUACAUUGAAUAUAACGAUGAGUCCAGCAUACGAGGGCAAACUUUUUUCGAGGUUGAGCCGUUGGAACACAUGAAUAAUGAUUUAGAAUGAAUUGCUACGUUAUUCAGAGGCAUAUUGUGGGUGUCCCUCGUGCUACUGCACUCAACAAUCCUCAAUAGUAUUUACAGUGCGAACUGUUCUAGACGGAAGUAACAUAGACGAACAAGAACGCCAAAUGGGUCCCAAGAUACGCUGUUGCAGAGUUGCAGUUUUUAGGUUUUAUUAAAACGUCCAAGGAGAAGAUUGAUCACGUUACAAAAUUGACCUGGUGAAUCGAAAGUCGAUUUCGAAACCGUCCUUGUGAUGGUCUCUAUGAUGUUCAAAACCAACGAAGUUGAAAUUUGAUUGAGCUCCGUUUGCGUAUUGGGAAUGAUCUUCAAAAAGCAACCUUUUUGUCUAUCCUAGUGUUUCCGAAACUCUCCUUUCCUC